rnacentral:lncRNA from 1 species
GGUUUUUUACAAGAGAAGUAGCAGAAGAGGGGGCAGUAGCUCAGGGAGUCCUUGUGUGAUAACAUGCUCUGCCGGUGACUCACAGACGGUUGUGAUUGGUCUGGCAGCAGAUUCAGGGUGUGGGAAAAGCACUUUCAUGAGGAGGCUAACUAGUGUGUUUGGUGGUGCAGCAGAGCCACCAAAGGGCGGUAACCCAGAUUCCAACACCCUUAUCAGUGACAUGACUACAGUGAUUUGUUUGGAUGACUAUCACUCACUUGAUAGGACUGGAAGGAAGGAAAAAGGAGUCACCGCACUUGACCCAAGAGCAAAUGAUUUUG